rnacentral:rRNA from 1 species
ACCAGACUCCUACGGGAGGCAGCAGUGGGGGAUAUUGCACAAUGGGGGGAACCCUGAUGCAGCGACGCCGCGUGGGUGAAGGAGUAUUUCGGUAUGUAAAGCCCUAUCGGCAGGGAAGAAGCAAGACGGUACCUGACUAAGAAGCCCCGGCUAACUACGUGCCAGCAGCCGCGGUAAUACGUAGGGGGCAAGCGUUAUCCGGAUUUACUGGGUGUAAAGGGGGCGCAGACGGCGAUGCAAGCCAGGAGUGAAAGCCCGGGGCCCAACCCCGGGACUGCUCUUGGAACUGCGUGGCUGGAGUGCAGGAGGGGCAGGCGGAAUUCCUGGUGUAGCGGUGAAAUGCGUAGAUAUCAGGAGGAACACCGGUGGCGAAGGCGGCCUGCUGAACUGCAACUGACGUUGAGGCCCGAAAGCGUGGGGAGCAAACAGGAUUAGAUACCCCCGUAAA